UGCCAGACUCCUACGGGAGGCAGCAGUGGGGAAUAUUGCACAAUGGGGGAAACCCUGAUGCAGCGACGCCGCGUGAGCGAUGAAGUAUUUCGGUAUGUAAAGCUCUAUCAGCAGGGAAGAAGAUGACGGUACCUGACUAAGAAGCCCCGGCUAACUACGUGCCAGCAGCCGCGGUAAUACGUAGGGGGCAAGCGUUAUCCGGAUUUACUGGGUGUAAAGGGAGCGUAGACGGCGAUGCAAGCCAGAUGUGAAAGCCCGGGUCUCAACCCCGGGACUGCAUUUGGAACUGUGUGGCUGGAGUGUCGGAGAGGCAGGCGGAAUUCCUAGUGUAGCGGUGAAAUGCGUAGAUAUUAGGAGGAACACCAGUGGCGAAGGCGGCCUGCUGGACGAUGACUGACGUUGAGGCUCGAAAGCGUGGGGAGCAAACAGGAUUAGAUACCCCCGUA
rnacentral:rRNA from 1 species